rnacentral:rRNA from 1 species
GAUACCUACGGGAGGCAGCAGUGGGGAAUAUUGCACAAUGGGGGAAACCCUGAUGCAGCGACGCCGCGUGAAGGAAGAAGUAUUUCGGUAUGUAAACUUCUAUCAGCAGGGAAGAAAAUGACGGUACCUGACUAAGAAGCCCCGGCUAACUACGUGCCAGCAGCCGCGGUAAUACGGAGGAUGCGAGCGUUAUCCGGAUUUAUUGGGUUUAAAGGGUGCGCAGGCGGCGAGUUAAGUCAGCGGUAAAAUUUCGGGGCUCAACCCCGCCAAGCCGUUGAAACUGGCUUUCUAGA